rnacentral:rRNA from 1 species
CUUUGAGAAAAAAAAAAGGGAGGGGCUCUCUUUUUUUUAGGGGGGGGGGGGGGGAUUUUUUAUUAUAAUUUAAGGUGUUUGUGGUUGUAAGAGGUGUCACGGUGUCUCUAUAUGUGAACCUGCAGAAGUCUCUAUAUUGUUUUUUAUUAAUGGAGAGGAGAGUUGUUGGUGGCCUUUUCUACUUUUAUUGGGCAGGGGGGGGGAUGUGCCCUCCUUUUUUAUCAUUCACCACACCCGCUGUGCUGUUGUGAGACAACAAUAGUUGGUUGAUUUAAUUUCAUCCAUUUGCUGUCUACUUAAUUUACACACACUCUACUUAAUUUAAACUGAAUGUAAUUGAUGUAACGCAUCUAAUACUAAGUUUCAACAACGGAUCUCUUGGCUCUCGCAUCGAUGAAGAACGCAGCGAAAUGCGAUAAGUAAUGUGAAUUGCAGAAUUCAGUGAAUCAUCGAAUCUUUGAACGCACCUUGCGCUCCUUGGUAUUCCUUGGAGCAUGCCUGUUUGAGUAUCAUGAAAUCUUCAAAGUAAACCUUUUGUUAAUUCAAUUGGUCUUUUUUACUUUGGUUUUGGAGGAUCUUAUUGCAGCUUCACACCUGCUCCUCUUUGUGCAUUAGCUGGAUCUCAGUGUUAUGCUUGGUUCCACUCGGCGUGAUAAGUUAUCUAUCGCUGAGGACACCCGUAAAAAAGGUGGCCAAGGUAAAUGCAGAUGAACCGCUUCUAAUAGUCCAUUGACUUGGACAAUAUUCUAUUUUAUGAUCUGAUCUCAAAUCAGGUAG